rnacentral:tRNA from 1 species
GCCUUCGUGGUGUAAAGGAAAUACACUCGGCUCGUAUUCGAGAGAUCCAGGUUCGAGUCCCGGCGAGGUUA